UACGUAGGGGACAAGCGUUGUCCGGAAUGACUGGGCGUAAAGGGCGCGUAGGCGGUCUGAUAAGUCAGAUGUGAAAGGUACCGGCUCAACCGGUGACGUGCAUUUGAGACUGUCAGACUUGAGUAUUGGAGAGGCAAGUGGAAUUCCUAGUGUAGCGGUGAAAUGCGUAGAUAUUAGGAGGAACACCAGUGGCGAAGGCGGCUUGCUGGACAAAUACUGACGCUGAGGUGCGAAAGCGUGGGGAGCGAACAGG
rnacentral:rRNA from 1 species